rnacentral:piRNA from 1 species
UCCGCAAUUAGAGUUUUAUAU